AAAAGUUGUUGUGGUGUAGAGAAACGUGUUGAAUUGACACAUAGUAGUUCUUAUAUUCUGCCUCAACCACAAUUUCCCCUAUCAUAUAUAAAUAAACCACUACACGAGUAAUACUUAAUAAGAGGAGAAUCUUCACACUUACUCAUUAUUAUUCCACAUCCACAAAUCAUAAUCUAUCUAUCUAUCAAUGGCUUUGAAUAAUAAGAGCAAUAAUCCCAAAAAGAGAAGUGGUUCUUCUUGUUCUUGUUCAAAGAACAACAUAGCUGAUGCAGCAUCAUGGUGCUUGGCUUUUGUAUUGGUGUCUCUCAUAUUGAUGUGCAUGUUCAUCAGGGACACUGCCUCCUCCAAUAACAUGGCUGUGAUCAAUAAUGUGGUGUGUGAUGAAAUCUAUGUGGUUGGAGAAGGAGAGACACUGCACACAAUCGGUGACAAGUGUUCAGACCCAUUCAUUGUGGAAAACAACCCUCACAUCCAUGAUCCUGAUGAUGUGUAUCCAGGCCUUGUUAUCAAGAUUACACCUUCUCCUCACAACAAUAUACCUAACUAAAAACCACCAGCAGGAACACAAGAAAGAGUACUUGCAUAUGUACGGACAUCCGUGUCUCAAAUGGAAGAUUAGAACUGAUGUUGUCUCUCUUUAUUUUUCGGAAGGGUCGAGGUUGCUUAAAAUAUCAACUAAGUGUGUUGUGUAGAUAUAAGUCUAGUUUAUAUGUACCGUUACAUGCAGCUUCUUCGCAAUAGCAAGCGCACACAGAAAAAAUACCAAACGUUUUAGAGGGUAGUUUCGGUUUUAUUUGCUUCUUGUAUAUGCUACUAAACAUACAUAAUGGAAAAAGAAAAUUCCCCUCCUAAUAAUGAUCUUAUUAGUCCUUCGUAAU